ACUCCUACGGGAGGCAGCAGUGGGGAAUAUUGCACAAUGGGGGAAACCCUGAUGCAGCCAUGCCGCGUGUGUGAAGAAGGCCUUGGGUUGUAAAGCACUUUCAGUAGGGAGGAAGGUAGUGUAGUUAACACCUGCACUAUUUGACGUUACCUACAGAAGAAGCACCGGCUAACUCCGUGCCAGCAGCCGCGGUAAUACGGAGGGUGCGAGCGUUAAUCGGAAUUACUGGGCGUAAAGCGCAUGCAGGCGGCCUGUUAAGUCAGAUGUGAAAGCCCGGGGCUUAACCGUCGGAAUUGCAUUUGAAACUGGCAGGCUAGAGUCUUGUAGAGGGGUUAGAAUUUCAGGUGUAGCGGUGAAAUGCGUAGAGAUCUGAAGGAAUACCAGUGGCGAAGCGGCCCCUGGACAAAGACUGACGCUCAGAUGCGAAAGCGUGGGAGCAAAACAGGAUUAGAUA
rnacentral:rRNA from 1 species